CAUCCUUGAAGCUCUAGCACACCCAAAGGCCAUAACGUCAAGUUUCAACAUCUUGGAGGCUCCCUGAAUUAGAGUUAUUAGCAAAUAGAGCAUUGUUUCAAAAUUUGAAGUGGAAUAUGGAUGCUACUGUAUAUCAACAAUGGAGAAGAACAGCAGUAGCAGCUAGUUGUAUGGCUGCUAUAGCUGCCAUACUUGUCAUAUUGGAUGAAUGUGACUAUGACGAGGAGGAUGAAGAAGCACCGCCUAAAAACAAAGUGUUGAUUUUGAUCAACUAGCCACCAUUGCUGAAGGCAUCAAGGAUUUGGCAGCUGCACUUCGAGAACCACCCAAGCAACGUAGCCCUUAUCAGAUGGAUUUGACACCUAUCCUCUAUGCCAUACGAGAGAUGCUUGAUAUUUCUGAUGUCAUGGCUAGUAGGUCUUUUGAAUACUUGAGUGCAAAUCUAGUGCAAACUAAUAUAUUUAUGUCAUAUAAUGUCUCACACUGGGCAAACUUUCUUUGGAGGCAUUGGCAUUCACAAGACCCCAAUGGGUAUAAGGGUUGUUCAUAUUAUGGAUAUCGUGUUUUGCCUUUUUGUGAACUCUUUACGCAUAUAUUAGUUUAAAACUAUGUAGUUAGAGCUUUGACUCUAGGUUGAAGAACAUAUUUCUGCUUAAUUGUUUAAAAAUGGAAUGUUUGAGUGGGAUGUAUAUAUUUUUUUAAUGGUUUCCUACAGACUAAUGAUGUAAUAUUCUCAAACUUUUGGACAAAUUAUAGACGGACUUUAUGCUCUCCA